rnacentral:rRNA from 1 species
UGGGGAAUAUUGCACAAUGGGGGAAACCCUGAUGCAGCGACGCCGCGUGAGUGAAGAAGUAUUUCGGUAUGUAAAGCUCUAUCAGCAGGGAAGAGAAUGACGGUACCUGAGUAAGAAGCCCGGCUAACUACGUCGCC